rnacentral:rRNA from 1 species
CCUAGUACGGCGAGUGAAGAGGGAAGAGCCCAAGAUUGAAAGCUGGCGUCUUCGGCGUCCGCAUUGUAAUCUCAAGAAGUGUUUUCCGCUUCGGACCAUGCCUAAGUCCCUUGGAAAAGGGCAUCAUAGAGGGUGAUAAUCCCGUUCAUGGCAUGGAGCGCCCGAAGCUUUGUGAUACGCUUUCUAAGAGUCGAGUUGUUUGGGAAUGCAGCUCAAAAUGGGUGGUAAAUGCCAUCUAAGGCUAAAUAUUGGGGAGAGACCGAUAGCGAACAAGUACAGUGAUGGAAAGAUGAAAAGAACUUUGAAAAGAGAGUUAAACAGUACGUGAAAUUGCCAAAAGGGAAGGGUAGGAGGUCAGAGAUGCGUCUUGGAAUUCAGCCUUGCUUCUGCUUGGUGUUUUUUCCAAGUUGCAGGCCAACGUCGGUUUUGGGCACUGGAGAAGGGUGGAAGGAAUGUGGCACCUCUCGGGGUGUGUUAUAGCCUUCUACUGGAUACAGCGACCGAGACCGAGGACAGCAGCGUACUCGUAAGAGCGGGCCUUCGGGCACCUUUACGCUUAGGGCGUUGGCAUAAUGGCCCUCUACCACCCGUCU